AUGGCCGACGCCGCCGCAUCACCGUCCCCUCCCUUGCAGCUUCUUGCCGUCCCAAUCAACACUCGUCGAUCCCCUCGACCCCGGCCGGACGGGAUGGUCAGGUCGCCGGCAACCCCCACCCCGACCCCCAGGUCGCCGGCUGCCCCAAACCCGACCUCCAGCUCGCCGGCUGCCCCAAACCCGAUCUCCAGCUCGGCGGCUGCCCCAAACCAGACCCCCAGCUCGGCGGCUGCAGAUCUUGAGGAGCACAAGGGUACUGGUGAGCUCUUGCGUGCCAUAAAAAUUGAGAAGGCUAAUGGCCCGGAUCUUGAGGAGCACAAGGCUGCUAGUGAGCUCCAUGUGGAACCACCAAAGUGCAAGAAAAGGAAGCGAAGUAGGUAG
rnacentral:rRNA from 1 species